rnacentral:lncRNA from 10 species
UUCAGUAUUGCCAAGUCCUGGACCAGUUUGUGUACAGGUCUCUGGCCAACUGUGUCACCUCUUCUGCAUUUCACCUGCACCGUCAAAUGCGGAGGACUGGAGGCACUGAGAGACUGAUGCAAACUCUGGAGAGAAACUGAGGAUGCUUGAUCUUGAAUCUCAGACACCAAGUUGUGAAGAAGUGCACCCUGGGCACGUUGCCUCAAGUUGAAGGCUGUGGUUGGAAAUUAUACCAUGGAUGUUUUUUAAAUGGUUCCACUGUAUAUUACAUAACACCUCCUAAAGGUACUGUUUACCACAAUGAACACACUUUUAUCAUGUCAACAACUUCCAUCUCUACAUUGCCCUGUGUAAGAAUAUACUGGGAGCUGAUAUAACCUCAAUGAUGGUAAAACAGGAUGUAGAAUCCAGAAAACAUUCCUGAAAUGGACCAAACAUCAAUAUUCUGAAACAGAAGUGGAAAUGAAACUGAAACAGAAAAAGUGAAUUGGGUAAUAAAUAUACUAAAGAACAAUUUUUCUAAUAGUUGGCAGAAGGUGGUAAGGUAAGUUCAAAAAGUUCAUCUGUGAGUAAAGGCACAUUAUUGUGAGGUGG